AGUGAACGCUGGCGGUAGGCCUAACACAUGCAAGUCGAACGGCAGCACAGUAAGAGCUUGCUCUUACGGGUGGCGAGUGGCGGACGGGUGAGGAAUACAUCGGAAUCUACUUUUUCGUGGGGGAUAACGUAGGGAAACUUACGCUAAUACCGCAUACGACCUACGGGUGAAAGCAGGGGAUCUUCGGACCUUGCGCGAUUGAAUGAGCCGAUGUCGGAUUAGCUAGUUGGCGGGGUAAAGGCCCACCAAGGCGACGAUCCGUAGCUGGUCUGAGAGGAUGAUCAGCCACACUGGAACUGAGACACGGUCCAGACUCCUACGGGAGGCCGCAGUGGGGAAUAUUGGACAAUGGGCGCAAGCCUGAUCCAGCCAUCCCGCGUGGGUGAAGAAGGCCUUCGGGUUGUAAAGCCCUUUUGUUGGGAAAGAAAAGCAGCAGGUUAAUACCCCGCUGUUCUGACGGUACCCAAAGAAUAAGCACCGGCUAACUUCGUG
rnacentral:rRNA from 1 species